rnacentral:lncRNA from 1 species
AAUUGCCUAUAUACCCCUGAAAAGUUUCCGAUUUUCUUAUAUACCUCUUUUAGAAGGCUAAUAUUGAAAAUACCCUUCUUUUGUUCCAAGUCUUUCUAAUAUACCCCUGGAGUUAAGCUCCGUUAGUGAGCUGCCGUUAUCUCUGUAAAAUUACCAUUUUGCCCAUUCUAAUAUACUCUUCUACCGUAACUAACUUUUCUUAUAUACCCUUUAUAUAGUAAAUAUUUUUCUUAUUUGCCCUUCAAAUAUAAAUUAAUUAAUUAAACACAUAGAGAUCGAUCGCAGUUAAACCAACCUUGGUAGCUGGAGGCAUAGUUAGUUAAUUCGGAUUUGGCAAAAAUUCGGUACGGAUAUAAUUCGGAUAAAAUUCGUCUUUUAAUUUUUAAAUUCGUUGAAAAAUACGGCUAAAAAACGGAUUCGGCAGUUAUUCGGAUACGUGAUUUAUACGGGUAUUAUACGUUCACCAAUUAAAAAUUCGGGAUCAAAUAUAAUUUUUAUAUAUAAUUUUUAAAAAUUCGGUAUUAUACUAUAUAUAUUAUUUUUAUAAUAUUUAAUAAUAGAUUAAAUAUAUUUAAAAUUAUAAUAAACUUAUAUUAAUAAUAUAUAAGAGUUAUAUAUUUAAAAAUAUUAAUAAAUAAUUACAAAUUUAUAAAUAAAAUAUUAUAUAAUAAUAUUUCUAUAUAAAAAUAAAAUACUAUAUGAAUAAAUCUAUUAGUUAUUAUUAUUAUUAUUAUCAUCAGAAAACACGACAGUUAAUUUACAGGAACAUAGUUAUUAAAUAAUUAAGCGCUAAUUACUUAAUAAUUGUCAUU